AAUCAGAAUGCAGAUUACAUCCGUCCAUCUCCCCACCCCCAAGCACACAAAACGAAAGGAAAAAUAAAUCAUUGAAGAUACGACAGCAAGCAAAACAAUGGAAAGCUGCGAUAUGAAAUUAAUUGGACUAGUUGAAAAAGCCCCGUGCUUAUAUGAUAAAAGUAGCGGUGAUUAUAAAGAUAGGGUAAAAAAAAAACUAUACGUGGUUCCGUAUUGCCCGGGAGUUGAAUAUUUCAACUGAGGAUUGUGAGAAGAGGUGGACGCUGCUGCGUGAGCGUUUUUCACGGGAAAAGCGCUGUGCCAGAAUUGGUCCACCAUCGGGAGCUGCAGGCGGUGUUUCCGACAGGCAGCCAUCAAGCUAUUUCAAAGCAAUGCAAUUCCUCGACUUGCACGUCAAACCAAGAAAGACAAUUGGUAAUAUUCCACAAUGCUCUUCCCAGAAGAAAACAUUGUCUUUGGAUGAAGAACCAGAUAUGGACCCGUCAGCGCAUGAUUGGGAUGUGUAUGAAUUUCUAAAUUCGAAUGAUGAAAAUCAGUACAAAGAGGACUCUAUCGGCAUGAUUAUAACGGAUGAAAAUGAAAGGAGAAUCUACCGCCCAAGAAAAGGCGAACUGUCCCAUUAACGAAUCCUCCACAAGAAGGAAAUGGAAAAAAAGUGA